GACAGAGGCCCCAAGCGUUAGGCGGAAUCACUGGGCUUAAAGCGUGUGUAGGCGGAUCGUUAAGUGUCUUGUGAAAUCCCACGGCUCACCCGUGGAACUGCUGGGCAUACUGGCGAUCUUGGGCCAACUAGGGGCAGCCGGAACAAGCGGUGGAGCGGUGAAAUGCGUAGAUAUCGCUUGGAACGCCAAUGGUGAAAACAAGUAGCUGGGGAUGUGCCGACGCUGAGACACGAAAGCCAGGGGAGCGAACGGG
rnacentral:rRNA from 1 species